GACGAACGCUGGCGGCGUGCUUAACACAUGCAAGUCGAACGGAAAGGCCCUGCUUUUGUGGGGUGCUCGAGUGGCGAACGGGUGAGUAACACGUGAGUAACCUGCCCUUGACUUUGGGAUAACUUCAGGAAACUGGGGCUAAUAUCGGAUAGGAGCUCCUGCUGCAUGGGGGGGGUUGGAAAGUUUCGGCGGUGGGGGAUGGACUCGCGGCUUAUCAGCUUGUUGGUGGGGUAGUGGCUUACCAAGGCUUUGACGGGUAGCCGGCCUGAGAGGGUGACCGGCCACAUUGGGACUGAGGUACGGCCCAGACUCCUACGGGAGGCAGCAGUGGGGAAUAUUGCACAAUGGGCGGAAGCCUGAUGCAGCAACGCCGCGUGCGGGAUGACGGCCUUCGGGUUGUAAACCGCUUUCGCCUGUGACGAAGCGUGAGUGACGGUAAUGGGUAAAGAAGCACCGGCUAACUACGUG
rnacentral:rRNA from 1 species